rnacentral:rRNA from 1 species
UGGGGAAUAUUGCACAAUGGACGGAAGUUUGAUGCAGCGACGCCGCGUGGAGGGUGUAGGCCUUCGGGUUGUGAACUCCUUUUUCUUGCGAAAAAGGCACAGUUUUGGCUGUGUUGAUGGUAGUGGGUGAAGAAGCGCCGGCUAACUACGUUCCAGCAGCCGCGGUAAUACGUAGGGCGCGAGCGUUGUCCGGAGUUAUUGGGCGUAAAGAGCUCGUAGGUGGUUCGUCGCGUCUGUCGUGAAAGCCAGCAGCUUAACUGUGGGUCUGCGGUGGGUACGGGAGGGCUUGAGUGCGGUAGGGGUGACUGGAAUUCCUGGUGUAGCGGUGGAAUGCGCAGAUAUCAGGAGGAACACCGAUGGCGAAGGCAGGUCACUGGGCCGUUACUGACACUGAGGAGCGAAAACGUGGGGAGCGAACAGG